rnacentral:rRNA from 1 species
GACGAACGCUGGCGGCGUGCUUAACACAUGCAAGUCGAACGGAAAGGCCCUGCUUUUGCGGGGUGCUCGAGUGGCGAACGGGUGAGUAACACGUGAGUAACCUGCCCUUGACUUUGGGAUAACUUCAGGAAACUGGGGCUAAUACCGGAUAGGAGCUCCUGCUGCAUGGUGGGGGUUGGAAAGUUUCGGCGGUUGGGGAUGGACUCGCGGCUUAUCCGCUUGUUGGUGGGGUAGUGGCUUACCAAGGGUUUGACGGGUAGCCGGCCUGAGAGGGUGACCGGCCACAAGGGGACUGAGAGACGGCGCAGACGCCUACGGGAGGCAGCAGGGGGGAAUAUUGCGCAAUGGGGGGGAGCCUGAGGCAGCAACGCCGCGUGCGGGAUGACGGGCUUCGGGUGGUAAACCGCUGUCGCCUGAGACGAGGCGUGAGUGACGGUAAUGGGUAAAGAAGCACCGGCUAACUACGUG